CUCUUGGUGGUCCAGUGGUUAGGACUUGGCACUUUCAUUGCUGGGACCCAGGUUCAAUCCCCGGUCAGGGAA
rnacentral:tRNA from 1 species